AGCAGCCGCGGUAAUUCCAGCUCCAAUAGCGUAUAUUAAAGUUGUUGCAGUUAAAAAGCUCGUAGUUGAAUUUCGGGGUUAGUAGGUCGGUCAUGCCACUGGUAUGUACUGGUCUCACUGAUUCCUCCUUCCUGAUGAACCGUAAUGCCAUUAAUUUGGUGUUGCGGGGAGACUGGACUGUUACUUUAGAAAAAAUUAGAGUGUUUAAAGCAGGCUAACGCUUGAAUACAUUAGCAUGGAAUAAUGAAAUAGGACGUUCGAUCCUAUUUUGUUGGUUUCUAGGAUUGACGUAAUGAUUAAUAGGGAUAGUUGGGGGCAUUAGUAUUCAAUUGUCAGAGGUGAAAUUCUUGGAUUUAUUGAAGACUAACUACUGCGAAAGCAUUUGCCAAGGAUGUUUUCAUUAAUCAAGAACGAAAGUUAGGGGAUCGAAGACGAUCAGAUACCGUCGUAGUCUUAACCAUAAACUAUGCCGACUAGGGAUCGGAUGAUGUUUAAUUUUUAAUGACUCAUUCGGCGCCGU
rnacentral:rRNA from 1 species